UAGAAUACCGGCCUGUCACGCCGGGGGUCGCGGGUUCGAGUCCCGUCCGCUGCG
rnacentral:tRNA from 1 species